UACGUGGGGUGCAAGCGUUGUUCGGAAUUACUGGGCGUAAAGCGUGUGUAGGCGGCUCACUAAGUCUGGUGUGAAAUCCCCAAGCUUAACUUGGGAACUGCAUCGGAAACUGGUGAGCUCGAGUCCGGGAGAGGGUAGCGGAGUUCCUGGUGUAGAGGUGAAAUUCGUAGAUAUUCGGAAGAACACCAGUGGCGAAGGCGACUUACUGGACACAUAUUGGCGCUGAGGUGCGAAAGCGUGGGGAGCAAACAGG
rnacentral:rRNA from 1 species